rnacentral:lncRNA from 1 species
GUUUCCCUUCCUUAAUUUCAUCCUUAUUAGUGCUCCUAGAUAAUGAUCUCUAUGCAGAGCCGUAGUAGGGAUGCCAUAUACUUCCUGUUCCAUCAUUUUGCAACUAUUUUUUCUGUGUCUGUUGCCCCCCCGGCGGAUUAUAAAUUCUUUGAGGUCAGGGUCAGAUGUUACUGAUUUCCGGAUCCUCAGUGUCCCCCCAGGCAAUGCUUUGUGAAUGAAUGAAUGAAUGAAUGAAUGGUGGUAUGGAUUCACUCAUCUCAGGUGUCUGGGAUCGGACAGUCAGUGUUGAUGUGACUCUGGAGAGCGGUGUGCUAAUCAGGGAGGCCUUCUUGUAUCCGACACGUUCUUAUUGGUCUUCUGCAGUGAUGAGGAAAAGUCAACCAGCUGGGUGCACCCUGGCACGGAAUACCCCAUCCAGAGUGGACACUCCUCCAGCCCAGGAUUGCCCAAGGGCUGGGAGAUGGAUUCUACCCAGGAAGGAGCUGUGUAUUUCAUUAAGUGAGUAAGAUGGGGUUUCUUUCUGGUCUGGCUGUUGGGCCUACUGUUGUCGUUGUCACUGAUGGCUGCUUGGGAGGGAAGGUGCUUAAAAGGUGUGCUGGGGCCCUGAAGACCUAGAGCGGGUUGGGGGGGUGGUGUUCUGUGAAUGAAAGGAGGCCUCUAGGCUUCUGAGCUACUGCGGCAGAGAAAGCUGGGUGUGUGUUUCUGUUGGUACAGAAGAGCUAGUGUCGGUCAUGGGAAGUUUUCUGGCUUGGAGUGGGUGAGGGGAGUGUUGGGCUGGG